rnacentral:rRNA from 1 species
AUUUAACUCUAGCGGGAUGCUUUACACAUGCAAGUCGCACGAGUGGCGGACGGGUGCGUAAUAUAUCGGAACGUGCCCAGUAGCGGGGGAUAACUACUCGAAAGAGUGGCUAAUACCUCAUACUAUUGGAUCUGCCGAUAUCGGAUUAGCUAGUUGGUGGGGUAAAGGCUCACCAAGGCAACGAUCCGUAGCUGGUUUGAGAGGACGACCAGCCACACGGGGACUGAGACACGGCCCAGAAUCCUACGGGAGGCAGCAGUGGGGAAUUUUGGACAAUGGGGGAAACCCUGAUCCAGCCAUACCGCGUGUAUGAGAAGGCCUUCGGGUUGUAAAGUACUGUGGGCAGAGAAGCGGUAUCUGCAGAAUAAGCACCGGCUAACUACGUGCCAGCAGCCGCGGUAAUUC